GAAGCCCUGGCCUCAGCCCUGCCCGAUUCUCUCCUUUCAGCAUCCCAGGAGGCUUCCCUGAACAACUGCCACGCAUUUGUGGCCACCGACCAACACACAAGCCAGCCAAGGAAGUGAUCAUUUAGAGAGGAAAGAGGCACAUACAGCAAUGGUCUCGGCGGCCACCCAAAGUGCAACCAGCCCCAAGCCCCACACUGAGCUUCCUAUCCUCCCGGUCGGCCUUGCCAGCAGGGUCCCCACCGGGGUUCAGAAAAGAAGUGGAAGUUCCCUUCUGCCUAAGAGGCCGGCACAUUCCACUGACUCAGACUGUUCUGGGCACCGUGGAGAAGACACUGUUCAUUUUCCCUGGGUUGAGAACUGGCCCACAUCCGGACCUGUCGCCAGCAGGAGGGACACUUGGCGGCUCAGCACAAACAAAUGAAUGAAGAGCUAUUUUUAAUGUUCAGUUCCUGUCUUUAUUCCAGGAGGCUAGGCACCUGUGCCAGGGUUGCUCCAAGUGUGGCUCACGGGCCACCCGCAUCAGAAACACCUGGGCAGCAAUAUACAGCUUCUGGGGUCCAACUCAAAACUGGGAGUCAACCACGGUGGCAGGAAUCAGGAAUUUGAAACCCCUCCCCCAACUGAGGGUCUUGCUAAAUUGCCCAAGCUGGCCUUGAACUUGCAAUCCUCCUGCCUCAGUCUCCUGAGUAGCUGGAAUUACAAGCAUGAACCACCACCAUUCCCAUCUCAAUGAGUCUUUUGCCGAAUAUUUAAGGAUCAUUGGCUGUCUAGGUUUGUAUUCAUUCAUUCACUCAUUCAAUCAUUUAUUUAUUCAAUGAAUGAGUUGCUGAGUAUUCUCAAUAGGCACCAAGCUUAUAAGUAGAAAUACAAAGAUAAAUGCACAUGCUCUCAAUUCUGGGGUCCAAAGGAGACGCAAUGCAGCCUGAAGUGCUAAAGAAAAAGCAUGAGGAGUUCAAUACUGGGAGAAGUCAACUUGCCCAGUAGGUUGAUUUUAAGGAGGAGGGGACCUUGGUGGGCACUGGCAUCCCCUUUGGCUUGGCCAAAGUCAAGGUGGUGUCCAGCCUGUCCCCAUCUAACCAGUGUCCUCCUGACUUCCCACAGGUACUCAGUCCACAUUUGGUGAACAAAUAGAAAACCAGAAUGGCCUGGGCACCGUGUGGGAACGUGAGUCAGGAAGCCACUCCAGACUGCUUUAUCUGCACCUAGUGGUUAAGGCCUCGGGCUCUGGUGGAAACUUUAAAACAUAAAAAAAAAAAA